AGAAGGACGAGGCGACCGGCGCCUCCUUCGACCGUCUGGACGCCGCCCUGGAGAAGGCCCUCGCCCAUGAGCA
rnacentral:tRNA from 1 species